AAGAACAACACGAUUAUCUUAAUGAGAUGACGAGCCUAGUGAAACGCCGGUCUUGGAGUGGAGUUGGCAGUCAGGAUUGCUGUUUAUGUGCCGGGCAGAGCGGGGAGAAUUUCAGCUUUAAUGUUUCAUUUUGUAGCAGUGCUCCAAGUAGUGUGCUUGGCCAUUUGCUCUGAGUCAUGUUCUGGCAGCUCCUGCUUACCCUUCAAAGUAAUUGGUAGAUUGUGGUUUCAGCGGUUUACGUCAGCGGCCCCUUUCACAUGCAAAUUCAACCUUUAUAGAAAUCCAGAUAGUUUCAGUUUGGGGGUGGAAGUGAGGAUACUGUUUUCAUUGAAAUGAAGAAACACAAACACCAACUUUUGCACAGUCUGUGACUAGUUUUUACUAAUAGGUGUCAAGUUUGUAUGUUGAACAUUUCUUGAGGGCUCCUGCUGGCAGUUCCCUGCUCUUCCCGACACUGGAACACUUUCAUUCUACCCAGAAAAGGCUGGACAUGAGUAGAAGAUCCCUGAGUGUAGCUGUGCCACCUACUGGUCUUUUAGUCGCUUCUUCCUGCUGCCCAAGUUUAGUUGUGUGUCACAGAGCUUGCACGCUAGACAAGAGUAACACAUGGGAGCACCGCAUUGCGGGUUGGCAGCCUCCUAGCCACCCAUAAAGCCACAGCCCUCUGCCAAAAGAGAAGGAAAGCUGGAAGCAGAUUAGAGACAACUCUUGGCUGAAAUAUGCAGAAAACAAAAGCAACAAAUGUUAAUUGAGUUCCAGCAGAUGAUGAACACAAAGAAAAGUAAAAAGUACAUUGUAUCAGGAAGCAGGAUUGCAUCCAAAGCGCCCACACUGCACACACUCCGAGUCCAAGAAAACAGAAGCACAAGCCCACGAGGCAUCUGAUUUUGAUCGCAAGACGAUGGCGAAGUAGCAAGUAGCAGAAGGAGUUUGUGUUUUUUGCAGUAGGUGUACAAAUACAAAGCUGAAUUCAUGAAGAAGUUAAAUAUGAGAUUACAGCAAGCAAAGGCAGCUGAAUGCAAGGAGGAAACUCCACCCAAAGCCUGCACCAGAGCCUUGAGGCUGUGCCGCCAAGCGUGGGGAACGGUUGUGAAUUAAAAGCAGGACGCCAAGCAGAACGCUGCAGGAAAAGUCACGCAGCGCUUUAAUUAAAAUUGUUCCUUGAGGUGCAAAAAUUUGGAAUGGAAGUGUCAGUGAGACAGUGGUGCAGUAGGAUGGCAUUGCCAACCUCAUGCCUUAGGGGCAACCUGUGGAAUUUGCCAGAGAAGUCUGACAAGGAUGAGCAGUGUGGCUUUUCAGCUUAGUUUUGUUAGCGGACCCCAGCUCCCCCCAGUGUUUGAAUCAACCUGUAGCCGUGUCUUUGCUGCCUGUAGAAAGAAAGGAUUUGAGGGGCUCAAGGGAAGACUUUAGUUUCUAAAGACUCCACUUGCAUAGCUUACUUUCCUGAAAAUGUACUUGAGCACGACUUCUCACAGCCGACGUGCUUGGCCUAUUAGAUGUCACUCGGGUGCCUGUCUGUGUUGAAGUUCUUGUGCUGUUUUUCUGUUCAUGUACGUUCUGUUCUACAUGCAAGGUGCAAGAAAAAUUACUCAUUUUGGAAGAGAUAAGACAGGUGCCCAAGCAUUACUGAUUGAUCAUCACAGAGAUGGAGCUUCAGUUUGGCUUGCAAGGACAUGAAGGGAGACUUGACACUGAUGUCUACAUUCACACUUGAUGUAACUCCUUGCUGCUGUCUGAGAUUAUUUAAAGACAAAUGAGGAUAUGCAGUAACAAACUGACACGAGUUCCUGCUCAUGAUGGCAGGGUGACGGUGCUACAUCAGAUUGAGGUGAAUGAGCAGCACUCAUUCCUCCCCAUCCACAAAGUUCUUUUCAUCCUAAUCUUAUAAGACUGAUGGGUUGUUCUUGGUUGUUAAGAGGAGGAGUGGCACAUUGUACAUGUGAAGUAUCCAUACUGGGAAGAAGGCACCCCAGGAAAUACAUGAGGAGCAUGCCAGAGGGUAUCGCAAUGACCUGAUGCCAAUCAAGAUGGACCAGGCACCAAGAAGCGAACGUGAAACCCGUAAGAAGGCCCUCUGUGUGUCCAACAGUGAAAAACACAAACACAACCUCGACGUCAGCAGGGCAGCACUUCGAAAUCAACGAUGAGGAAUCAAGAGGGACCACGACACACACAAAGCAAAGUGGGAGAAACGAGGGUCCUUCGGAGAGCAAAGCGGAGCGAAGUCCAGCACUUGGGGUCCGGCGGCAGUGGGCAUAGGAGAGCAGCAUCACUGAUUUUGAGGGAUGGAUGAGGUUCAGUGCUGGGAUUCCAAAGUGGAAAGGUCGUCAAAGCCACAAUGAUGACAGAACCAGUCCCGAUGUAACCGAUGGGCUCACGCUUUGCUCUCGGACACAGUGAAAUAUCCACUGCCAAGAACCAGAGCCUGUGACGUCUGCUCCAGCUGCACACUUUGGAGUUGGGAGAGAACUGGUGAGGCCCUCAUCCAUUUCCAGUUGUAGAUCCCACCAGGACUGCAAGCUCCCUUGUCUCCAAGAGAAGAUGGAGGCCAUCCAGGGCGUGCCUGAAGCUGCUGAGGUGAGACAUUCAGAACUUUUGAGAGUGGGCUUUGUGUGGUGAAGUUUUCACGACUGUUAGUCUGCACCUCAGUAUGUCCGUGAUAUCAUUUUAAGGACUGUAACAGUAAUUUCCAUUGUAAACGGGGUACGGUUUGUCUUCUGUGUGUUCAUUUUGAGUGUUGUAACACAUAAGUUGAUGUUUCUGUAAGUCUGUGAUUCCGUCUGUGCUCUGCUUAUUUUUGAGUGAUCUUAUGACAUGUCGGACUGUACACUGCAUGCACUUUGGUUGUCAGGCCCGCAGUCAGUUGUUUAAAAUGUCAGGCUGCUCCUGACUGUUGAGAGAGGUACAGCACCCAACGAGGGGCCAGGACGAGCCGUACCACCCACCCAUCUCACCAACAUUUUGGGCUAAACUUGAUGUAAAAUAUCAUUAGCAUCCAGUGAUCAUGCAGAGAGAAAUGGCCAGACUGUGUCAGUAAGACGCAGUCCAAGUGAACGACUAUUCAAUGACCAGGUGACCUUCCAGUGGUGGCCCAGUCUCCUAAUCUGUGGGGCUGUGGUUUGCCGUGUGACAUG